rnacentral:rRNA from 1 species
UACGUAGGGUGCGAGCGUUAUUCGGAAUUACUGGGCGUAAAGCGUGCGCAGGCGGUUCUCCAAGUCCGUUGUGAAAGCCCCGGGCUCAACCUGGGAAUGGCAGUGGAAACUAGGGGACUUGAAUCUGGCAGAGGGGGGUGGAAUUCCACGUGUAGCAGUGAAAUGCGUAGAGAUGUGGAGGAACACCGAUGGCGAAGGCAGCCCCCUGGGCUGAGAUUGACGCUCAGGCACGAAAGCGUGGGGAGCAAACAGG